rnacentral:rRNA from 1 species
UGGGGAAUCUUGGACAAUGGGCGCAAGCCUGAUCCAGCCAUGCCGCGUGGGUGAAGAAGGCCCUAGGGUUGUAAAUCCCUUUCAGCGGGGAAGAUAAUGACGGUACCCGCAGAAGAAGCCCCGGCUAACUCCGUGCCAGCAGCCGCGGUAAUACGGAGGGGGCUAGCGUUGUUCGGAAUUACUGGGCGUAAAGCGCGCGUAGGCGGACUUUCAAGUCAGGGGUGAAAUCCCGAGGCUCAACCUCGGAACUGCCUUUGAUACUGAUGGUCUUGAGUCCGAGAGAGGUGAGUGGAAUUCCUAGUGUAGAGGUGAAAUUCGUAGAUAUUAGGAAGAACACCAGUGGCGAAGGCGACUCGCUGGACAGGUAUUGACGCUGAGGUGCGAAAGCGUGGGGAGCAAACAGGAUUAGAUACCCGUGUAGUCC